rnacentral:lncRNA from 1 species
GGAUAUAAGUAUCCCUUAGAUCUGAGAUCACCACAGUGAUUAGCAAGCAACUUACUAUACUUUGGUACCGGACUAGCAGAAUUUCUAAUUCUGGGACGGAAGGUUACUGGGUGCAGUCAAGUACUUGCGAAAUCAGUGAGUGAGUCAAGAUGGAAUUAACACCUCCUGAAAAUAGGAGAUAAUGCUUUGUGUUCAAUUUAGUAAAACCUUGGCCAGGGUAAUCCAUGUAAAGAGUCACAGAAUUUCUAAAGUUGAAUCACAUCAUGGAUGCACUAAUUAUAGAGUUGACAGAACUCUAAGGUCAUCCUGGCAUUAGAAGUCAAAGGGAUGAAUUAUACAGUAAUCAUAGUCUAGGGUUUCAGAAUAUUUGCUUCGCAUAUAUUCGGCCUAUCCGGACGUCGGAUACCAUUGCUAGAUGAUCACAUCGAUUAGUGUAGGAAGUC